rnacentral:rRNA from 1 species
UAGGGAAUUUUUCACAAUGGGCGAAAGCCUUAUGAAGCAAUGCCGCGUGAACGACGAGGGUCUUAUAGAUUGUAAAGUUCUUUUAUUUGGGAAGAACCACUAAAAUAGGAAAUGAUUUUAGUCUGACUGUACCAUUUGAAUAAGUAUCGGCUAACUAUGUGCCAGCAGCCGCGGUAAUACAUAGGAUGCAAGCGUUAUCCGGAUUUACUGGGCGUAAAACGAGCGCAGGCGGGUCUGCAAGUUUGGUAUGAAAUCUAGAUGCUUAACGUCUAGCUGUAUCAAAAACUGCAAACCUAGAGUGUAGUAGGGAGUUGGGGAACUCCAUGUGGAGCGGUAAAAUGCGUAGAUAUAUGGAAGAACACCGGUGGCGAAGGCGCCAACUUAGACUAUCACUGACGCUUAGGCUCGAAAGUGUGGGGAGCAAAUAG